GUGCACAUUUCAUUGACUUGCUUUCUUGUAUUUGUGAGCAGUGUUAUUUCUUAUGUGCUAUACAAGUAGUUGAAGGUUAAUUAGCAGUAUAACUAAAUAGUAAUGCUGCCAGUCUCCUUCAGAUAAAG